rnacentral:rRNA from 1 species
UACAGGGGGUGCUAGCGUUGUUCGGAAUUACUGGGCGUAAAGGGCGCGUAGGCGGCUCAAUAAGUCUGUUGUGAAAUCCCGGGGCUUAACUCCGGACGUGCAGUGGAAACUAUUGGGCUUGAGUGUAGUAGAGGUUGGUGGAAUUCCCAGUGUAGAGGUGAAAUUCGUAGAUAUUGGGAGGAACACCGGUGGCGAAGGCGGCCAACUGGGUUACAACUGACGCUGAGGCGCGAAAGCGUGGGGAUCAAACAGG